rnacentral:rRNA from 1 species
AGUGAACGCUGGCGGUAGGCCUAACACAUGCAAGUCGAACGGCAGCACAGUGAGAGCUUGCUCUUACGGGUGGCGAGUGGCGGACGGGUGAGGAAUACAUCGGAAUCUACUUUUUCGUGGGGGAUAACGUAGGGAAACUUACGCUAAUACCGCAUACGACCUACGGGUGAAAGCAGGGGAUCUUCGGACCUUGCGCGAUUGAAUGAGCCGAUGUCGGAUUAGCUAGUUGGCGGGGGAAAGGCCCACCAAGGCGACGAUCCGUAGCUGGUCUGAGAGGAUGAUCAGCCACACUGGAACUGAGACACGGUCCAGACUCCUACGGGAGGCAGCAGUGGGGAAUAUUGGACAAUGGGCGCAAGCCUGAUCCAGCCAUACCGCGUGGGUGAAGAAGGCCUUCGGGUUGUAAAGCCCUUUUGUUGGGAAAGAAAAGCAGCAGGUUAAUACCCCGCUGUUCUGACGGUACCCAAAGAAUAAGCACCGGCUAACUUCGUG